UACAGAGGAUGCAAGCGUUAUCCGGAAUGAUUGGGCGUAAAGCGUCUGUAGGUGGCCUUUUUAAGUCCGCCGUCAAAUCCCAGGGCUCAACUCUGGACAGGCGGUGGAAACUACCAAGCUUGAGUACGGUAGGGGCAGGAGGGAAUUUCCGGGUGGAGCGGUGAAAUGCGUAGAGAUCGGAAAGAACACCAAAGGCGAAAGCGCUCUGCUGGGCCGAAACUGACACUGAGA
rnacentral:rRNA from 1 species